GCCCAUGUAGCACAAUGGUUAAUGCUCUCGGCUGCUAACUGAAAGGUUGGUGGUUUGAACCCACCAGGCA
rnacentral:tRNA from 1 species